GUCCACGUGAAGUUGUCGCUGCCUUAGAGAGGGGGAAAGAGCUGCGGGAAAAGCUGGGGAGUGACGACUGCGGCGGCUGGGCGCGCUCUCUCUUUUUCUUUUCUUCUCCUUUCCCCCCUGUCGCAGUCCGGAGUUUUGGCUCCUCUCCUUUCCUCCUCCCCCUCGGAGCCGGCUUCUUCCCCCGCCCCGCUUCUCCCCGGCUUGUGUACGCUAUUUGUUGUGGGGUGGCCGAAGGGGAUGUCCUGUUUUCACCAGAGGCAUAGCGCGAAGGGGAAACUUCGACACUGGAAGGAACGAGAAUAAAUACUUAAUUACGGACGCACUGAACCGCGGCUGGGACAGACACUUCGGGAACCCGAGGCGGACCGGGCGACGAGGUAGAUGCAAGAACACUGGACAUUCUGUAAAAACAGGCCCCUCUUUAUAAGGAGUUUAUUCACCAUAGUUCUGUAUUGCAGCUGCUGAUCAUAUUUCAUGGAGCUGUUAAAGCACUUAAAACCUAAAAUUAGAUAAGGAAGCUGAGACCUAGUCAUGCAGCACAAUGGAGUCAGGAUCCUAACUCCCCAGUAUGAGGCCAGCACCCUUAUCCUUAAGCAUGUGCUGGGCACUUGCUUCCAUCAGUCAUAUACCACCAUUUUUAGGUGGUACCUGAACAUUUUGUUUUAAUAAUACUUAUGUUUUGUGUAAGGAUAACUAGAUAUUAGAAAAAUUUGUCAAAUUUUGUAUUAAACCUGUAAUUUCAUGGGCAAUAUUGUUUGAGACAAAACCAAAAAAAGUAUUGAAGUCAAAGAAAAAAAAUUAAGUAUCUGAAGAAACAUAUUAAGUAACAGUGAAUAAGAAUAUGGCCUAAAUAAGCACAGUCAUGAAGGCUGGACAGCAAAUGACUGAAUUUGGAGAAAUGCUAUAUUUUGUAAUGUUUCCCAAUUAUCGAGAACUUAUGACCAGAUCUUUUAAAUAUUUAACUCACAUGUAGAAUCUUCCUUUGCUUUUCAAGCCUUAUCCAAAUUGGUUAAACGUUAUCAACUUUGUAUUUUCUUUGUUUUUGUUUUAUGUUGUUUUAAUGCUGGUUUUGAAUCUCAAAUCUGCACAUUUAUGUUGAACCAACUAAUAAGGCUUGAAGAGUUAAAGAGUGCAUGAUGGACUUCCGGAGGCAGGUUUAAAUUAUAAUGGAGCUGCCCAUAUUUUGGAAAUACAUUCAAUUUAUCUGGUUAUCGCAUGUGUAAGGUUUUCUCUAGGUAAACACUUUUGUUUUGCUGUUAAUAACCUGUUAUACAAUUUUAUAGUAUUUUUCCACUGAAGCAGUGGUUUUCAUUUUUUUAUUUACUUAUAUACUCAGCCACGGAUCCUUUCAUUUAAAUGGAAACUGACGAUAUGCCCAGUAGAGAAAUGUGCCACUGCUCUAGGUGAAGCAGGAUGUAGGUGGCCUGAGAAUGACUCACCAACAGUAUCCUCUCACUGUGGCCGCCUCUGGAGUUCUCUCUAAGUGUCUUCAAUGUACGGAAACUGCUGCAAAAAUAUUCAAGUCUUCUGACAAAAGGGGUUAAUUCAGAGUACCUGCUCUAACAUGUUCAUGUGGCAUCACUAAAAAACAGACUGUCAGAUACUGUAAAAUAUCUCCCAGUGUGAUAUAUCAGCAGAAAGGUGUGUCUACUCUCUCUUCUAUAACUUGAGUAUCCUUAUUAACCAGUCUUCAAAUUCGAUUUAGCACUGAGAAAAUUAAAACUGAUCAAAAUGUUCCCUAUGUGUAGUUACAGGUCUGAAUGAGGCACAAAGGACUUGUACCUGCAAAGGCUGACUUUAUUAAUUAGAACAUCUUUCCUCCUUUAAAGACUUUAAGAAGAAACACCAGCAGUGGCCUAACUUGACAUGACUUUAGAUUUUCACAUGUAUUAUUGCUACUAUUUCUGUUAUCCUUUCCCCUUUUGUUUUUAAAAUGAAAGGGACAUUUCUUGUGAAAGACUCCAAUUAAAUCAUAAAAAUUUACAUUCAUGUGCCAUUAAGUUUAAUUCUACUCACAAAAGCAACAGCACAGAGUUUGAAAUUCUAUCCCUAAUCAAGUAGGUGUACCACAUACUGGGAGGGCUCAUUAUCCACAAGGUCAUAUAUACAAUUCACAGACCUCUGCGUAUACCCAACGGAGUGAUCUAUUCAUUACAUUUCACCUCUGACUUUGAACUCCCUAAUGUUAAAAGAUUUGAAAAGAGCCGAAUGUUCUGAUUAAGAGAUUGAAUAUUUCUAACUUAAUGUUUUCAGUAUGUUGAAAGUGAUGAUGACUUGGGGGAAUCAGCAGAUCUCUACAUUACCUAAUUCUUUUCACUUAUAUUUGAAUGCAAAUAUAUAUUUGUGUAUGGCUAUGACUCAAGUCAUUCUCGCUAAAUUUAAUGACGUAGUAGGUGAAUCACAUUCAGAUUUCCAUUUGCAGGUUUUCCAGUAAUCUCAAACAGUGCUUCUAGUAGGUAACUUAAGCAUGCAAACCUCAAUAAACCUGUCAAGAACGGCAA
rnacentral:sRNA from 1 species